rnacentral:rRNA from 1 species
UACAGAGGGUGCUAGCGUUGUUCGGAAUCAUUGGGCGUAAAGGGCGUGUAGGCGGUUUGUUAAGUCAUGUGUGAAAUCCCUCGGCUCAACCGGGGAACGACGCAUGAAACUGGCAAGCUAGAGUACCAAAGAGGGGGGUGGAAUUCCCGGUGUAGUGGUGAAAUGCGUAGAGAUCGGGAGGAACACCAGUGGCGAAGGCGGCCGGCUGGGCCAUACCUGACGCUGAGGCGCGAAAGCGUGGGGAGCGAACCGG